GACGAACGCUGGCGGCGUGCUUAACACAUGCAAGUCGAACGGAAAGACCCUGCUUUUGUGGGGUGCUCGAGUGGCGAACGGGUGAGUAACACGUGAGUAACCUGCCCUUGACUUUGGGAUAACUUCAGGGAACUGGGGCUGAUACCGGAUAGGAGCUCCUGCUGCAUGGUGGGGGUUGGAAAGUUUCGGCGGUUGGGGAUGGACUCGCGGCUUAUCAGCUUGUUGGUGGGGUAGUGGCUUACCAAGGCUUUGACGGGUAGCCGGCCUGAGAGGGUGACCGGCCACAUUGGGACUGAGAUACGGCCCAGACUCCUACGGGAGGCAGCAGUGGGGAAUAUUGCACAAUGGGCGGAAGCCUGAUGCAGCAACGCCGCGUGCGGGAUGACGACCUUCGGGUUGUAAACCGCUUUCGCCUGUGACGAAGCGUGAGUGACGGUAAUGGGUAAAGAAGCACCGGCUAACUACGUG
rnacentral:rRNA from 1 species